rnacentral:rRNA from 1 species
AGAAUGAACGUUGGCGGCGUGGAUUAGGCAUGCAAGUCGUACGGGCCGCAAGGCCAGUGGCGCAAGGGUGAGUAAGGCGACGGUAACCAACCCCAUGAUUGGGUAUAGCCGCGGGAAACUGCGGGUAAUCCCCAGCGACGUCCGGGAGGGACAUCCCUUCUUGACCAAAGCUCCGGCGUCGUGGGACGGGCUGUCGUGGUAUUAGGUUGUUGGCGGGGUAACGGCCCACCAAGCCGAUGAUGCCUACCGGGCGUGCGAGCGUGGCCCGGCACACUGGGACUGAGACACUGCCCAGACUCCUACGGGAGGCUGCAGUCGAGAAUCUUCGGCAAUGGGCGCAAGCCUGACCGAGCGACGCCGCGUGGAGGACGAAGGCCUUCGGGUUGUAAACUCCUGUCGAGGGGGAAGAAGGGCCUUGCAAAAGGCCUUGACUGAUCCCGUGGAGGAAGCGACGGGCUAAGUUCGUGCCAGCAGCCGC